GACGAACGCUGGCGGCGUGCUUAACACAUGCAAGUCGAACGGCAGCACGGGUGCUUGCACCUGGUGGCGAGUGGCGAACGGGUGAGUAAUACAUCGGAACGUACCUUAUCGUGGGGGAUAACGCAGCGAAAGCUGUGCUAAUACCGCAUACGCCCUGAGGGGGAAAGCGGGGGAUCGCAAGACCUCGCGCGAUUAGAGCGGCCGAUGCCUGAUUAGCUUGUUGGUGGGGUAAAAGCCCACCAAGGCGACGAUCAGUAGCUGGUCUGAGAGGACGAUCAGCCACACUGGGACUGAGACACGGCCCAGACUCCUACGGGAGGCAGCAGUGGGGAAUUUUGGACAAUGGGGGCGACCCUGAUCCAGCAAUGCCGCGUGAGUGAAGAAGGCCUUCGGGUUGUAAAGCUCUUUUGUCAGGGAAGAAACACCGGCUCUAACACAGUCUGGGAAUGACGGUACCUGAAGAAUAAGCACCGGCUAACUACGUGCCAGCAGCCGCCGUAA
rnacentral:rRNA from 1 species